rnacentral:rRNA from 1 species
AAAUUGAAGAGUUUGAUCAUGGCUCAGAUUGAACGCUGGCGGCAGGCCUAACACAUGCAAGUCGAACGGUAACAGGAAGCAGCUUGCUGCUUUGCUGACGAGUGGCGGACGGGUGAGUAAUGUCUGGGAAACUGCCUGAUGGAGGGGGGUAACUACUGGAAACGGUAGCUAAUACCGCAUAACGUCGCAAGACCAAAGAGGGGGACCUU